rnacentral:rRNA from 1 species
CGAACGCUGGCGGCGUGCUUAACACAUGCAAGUCGAACGCGAAAUUUUUUCUUCGGAGAAAAGAGUAGAGUGGCGCACGGGUGAGUAACGCGUAAGUAAUCUACCCUGGCAUCUGGGAUAACCCACCGAAAGGUGAGCUAAUACCGGAUACGUUGAUUUAUCAAGAAAGGUGGCCUCUGAUUCAAGCUACUGUGCUGGGAGGAGCUUGCGUACCAUUAGCUAGUUGGUAGGGUAAAGGCCUACCAAGGCGACGAUGGUUAGCGGGUCUGAGAGGAUGAUCCGCCACACUGGAACUGGAACACGGACCAGACUCCUACGGGAGGCAGCAGUGAGGAAUAUUGCGCAAUGGGGGAAACCCUGACGCAGCGACGCCGCGUGGAUGAUGAAGGCCUUCGGGUCGUAAAAUCCUGUCAGAUGGAAAGAAAUGCUAUGGGUUUAAUACGCCUGUAGUUUGACGGUACCAUCAAAGGAAGCACCGGCUAACUCC